AGACAUUGCAAUGCAGACACAUAAGAUUAGAAGCAAAACGCAGGAGGCUGGAGUUACCUUUCAUGGAAGGGUAAGCAGGAAGCAACUACAAGAUCAUCAUUUCAAAACAAUAUGAAAGCAGAAUGGGAAAUGCCAUGGCAUGCUCCCUCUUUUCAGGCAAUAUGGACACUUUGGGGAAGUUAUGAAGCGUCUCCCAUUCCCGCUUGAGGUACUCAAUAGAGCCCACAAACACAAUGUGCUUGAGCUCAUGGUAAUGAAAGUUGCUGGCACGGAGCGGCAUCACCAGGUUCCGGAGGCCGAUCAGGGCUGAGCUGACGUCGCCAAAGAUGCAGACCACGACAUGGCCACUCAGGACGGUCAUGGCAGCUUCACUUCGAGUCUACAACAGGGAGAAGUGGGUAAGAGUCAGAGAGAAGACUGCAUAGGGCUGUUGUAAGGAGUGAAAUAAAUCAUUUGUGCAAAGAAUCAAGCAAAUAU
rnacentral:lncRNA from 10 species